rnacentral:rRNA from 1 species
CGGCGGACGGGUGAGUAAUGCCUAGGAAUCUGCCUGGUAGUGGGGGACAACGUUUCGAAAGGAACGCUAAUACCGCAUACGUCCUACGGGAGAAAGCAGGGACCUUCGGGCCUUGCGCUAUCAGAUGAGCCUAGGUCGGAUUAGCUAGUUGGUGAGGUAAUGGCUCACCAAGGCGACGAUCCGUAACUGGUCUGAGAGGAUGAUCAGUCACACUGGAACUGAGACACGGUCCAGACUCCUACGGGAGGCAGCAGAC